GAUGAACGCUAGCGGCAGGCCUAACACAUGCAAGUCGAGGGGCAGCACGUCUUCGGAUGGUGGCGACCGGCGCACGGGUGCGUAACGCGUAUGCAACCUACCUCUUACAGUGGGAUAGCCCAGAGAAAUUUGGAUUAAUACCGCAUAGUAUACAGAUUCAGCGUUGGGACUGUAUUAAACAUUUAUGGGUAAGAGAUGGGCAUGCGUUCUAUUAGUUAGUUGGAGUGGUAACGGCACCCCAAGACAGCGAUAGAUAGGGGCCCUGAGAGGGGGAUCCCCCACACUGGUACUGAGACACGGACCAGACUCCUACGGGAGGCAGCAGUGAGGAAUAUUGGACAAAUGGGCGAGAGCCUGAUCCAGCCAUGCCGCGUGCAGGAAGACGGCCCU
rnacentral:rRNA from 1 species